AAAAAAAAUGUGAUUUUUUUUUAAAUUGGCUUUUUUCGAAAAUAAAAAAAAAACGACUUUUCCCGAAAAUAGAAAAAAUAUAGAUUUUUUCCGGAAUAAUGAAAUCGAUUUUUUUAUUAAAAAGUUUAGUUUUAUUUGAAACAAAAUCGAUUUUUUAUGAAAUUAAAAAAGUCGGCUUUUUUGAAAAAAAAAAUUCAUGAAAAUAAAAAAUAAUAAUUUUUUCUUUAAAAAAAAACAAAAUUUUCUUUAAAAAAUCAAUUUUAAAAAAUGAUGGGGCCUUAAGGCCUCAAUUGAAUUUUAUGGGCCUUUAUUUUAGGGGCCUCAUAUAUUUAAGGGCUCAUUUAUUUUUUAAAUUUUGGGCCCCCUAUAUUUUUGGGGCCUUAAAAAUUAGGCCCUGGCCCCCUAAAUUGACACC
rnacentral:lncRNA from 1 species